rnacentral:rRNA from 1 species
UACGUAGGUGGCGAGCGUUGUCCGGAUUUAUUGGGCGUAAAGCGCGCGCAGGCGGUGCGGUAAGUCCGUCGUGAAAUCUCCCGGCUCAACUGGGAGGGUGCGGUGGAGACUGCCGGACUGGAGGCACUCAGAGGCCGGUGGAAUUCCCGGUGUAGUGGUGAAAUGCGUUGAUAUCGUAAGGAACACCUGUGGCGAAAGCGGCUUACUGGGUCUUUUCUGACGCUGAUGCACGAAAGCCAGGGGAGCAAACGGG